CUCUCCAGAACAAAUGAGACAGCCAGCAUUGGGGGUAGGGUGGGAAAAGGAAAUGACAGUCACUGGUGGACACAGCUUGGGGCAGGAGCUUCAGUAGGUGUCACCAGGCCUGUGGGUCUCUGUGCUCUGUUUUCUUAUUCAUCCGGUAGCCUUGAAGGGACCUGGAUACCUGGAAGGGGCUGCCGAGGAUGGAUCUGAGGAUUACUGGGACUAACAGGACUUCAGCUGGGGCUUCAUCGUGUGGUGUGGGCUUCCUGACAGCACGGCCACUGGUUUCCAAGAGUUUCAACAAUAUUUUCAUCAUAUUUAUUGAAGCCCUCACUGACAGACUUCUCAAGGCCCCUCUACCUUCUAUUUGCUGCCUGGCCCCAAAGCCAGUGCCGCACAUUUUAGGUUUUUAACUGCAGCAGCACCUAUGAUGUUUCCAAAAUCUGUAUCAUUAAAGUUUGAUCAGAGAAGCAAAACCACCUUGAGCAAAACAAGGAAUUUAUUAAAGAGAUUAGGAUACACAUUGUUAUGAAAGCUGCAACCUGCUGCCCCUGUGUCCAGAAGUGGGCCUGAAGUCAGCAGGGCUGGCAAAUGGAUGUGCAGUGGGAGAGGGUAGGCGUGUGCACCCAUCCUGCAGGGAGGAGAUGGAACUCCUGUGGAUGGACUGAAACUGAUGUCUUCCACGUCAGCCUCUCAGGCCUCCAACACUCCAGCUCUGAUGAUGAAGAUGACCUGCAGAGGAGCUGGUGCCCUUC
rnacentral:lncRNA from 1 species